AACGAACGCUGGCGGCAUGCCUAACACAUGCAAGUCGAACGAGACCUUCGGGUCUAGUGGCGCACGGGUGCGUAACGCGUGGGAACCUGCCCUUAGGUUCGGAAUAACUCCCCGAAAGGGGUGCUAAUACCGGAUAAUGUCUUCGGACCAAAGAUUUAUCGCCUUUGGAUGGGCCCGCGUUGGAUUAGCUAGUUGGUAGGGUAAAAGCCUACCAAGGCGACGAUCCAUAGCUGGUCUGAGAGGAUGAUCAGCCACACUGGGACUGAGACACGGCCCAGACUCCUACGGGAGGCAGCAGUGGGGGAUAUUGGACAAUGGGCGGAAGCCUGAUCCAGCGAUGCCGCGUGAGUGAUGAAAGCCUUAGGGUUGUAAAGCUCUUAUACCCGGGAUGAUAAUGACAGUACCGGGAGAAUAAGCUCCGGCUAACUCCGUG
rnacentral:rRNA from 1 species